UUAAAUCAAAUUUGUAUAGAGUUGGAACGUUUGCCUACAUUUUCCGCUAGGGGCGCUGUUCCAACUGCAUACAAAUUUAAAUUA
rnacentral:pre_miRNA from 1 species